rnacentral:rRNA from 1 species
UACGUAGGGGGCAAGCGUUAUCCGGAAUGAUUGGGCGUAAAGCGUCCGCAGGUGGCAAUGUAAGUCUGCUGUUAAAGCGUCUAGCUCAACUAGAUACAAGCAGUGGAAACUACAUCGCUAGAGUGCGUUCGGGGCAGAGGGAAUUCCUGGUGUAGCGGUGAAAUGCGUAGAGAUCAGGAAGAACACCGGUGGCGAAGGCGCUCUGCUAGGCCGCAACUGACACUGAGGGACGAAAGCGUGGGUAGCAAACAGG